UCCUAGGAAAAAGAGUGAGCUUUGGAGGGAAUCUCAGUUCAGGAGAUGCAUCUUUGUCUCUCUCCAUGGUGGAGUACAGUCACAGCCGAUGGUACAGAUGUAGGUUGCAGAUGGGACAAAAUGAACGCUGCUUUGAGGUCAAGCUGCAGGUUAAAGAACAGCAAGAGGAGAAACUGGUUGUUAGGACUUUCACCACAACUGAACUAACAAACCCUGCAGUUACUGCCAGGGGGAGUCCAGAAGAGUUGCGACUGCUACAGUUGGAACGGCUACUAUAGUGGCUUCAUCCAUGUGUGUGAUUGUCAUAAUGGCCCGCACGCUGGGAUUGAUC